CUUGGAUUAGCUUUUAAUUUUUAUUCCAUCCCUGUGUACUGAAGUGAUAAUGUACGCAAUGUAUUCCUCCAAUUAAGGUGGUGACUGUUGGCUCUCUUCUCCACCUUUUCUGUGCAAGUGUCUAUUUUAAUCCUCAACGUGCCACUCAGCUCAAACACGAAAAUUCGGUCGCUUCCCGUGAAGAGGUGCCUUGAGGGGUGUCGGCACCUCCCACCAGGGUAAGAAGACGCCGGUCUUAGAAUCACAGACCUUGUGGAGAUGUCACCAGGAACUCUGAUACUGACACACUCACCACUCUUCACUGUGUUCUUUUCCUGACUUUCAUCCGA